CCUGGUGGCAAUAGCGCUGUGGAACCACCUGACUCCAUUCCGAACUCAGAAGUGAAACGCAGCUGCGACG
rnacentral:rRNA from 1 species